UGGCCUUCCUCGCUCCGUUACUGCCCUCUCUCUUUAAAUCAGCGCGUCCUCAAAGUGCCUGAUUAUAAGAAUCGUCUGCUAGGCUGAUUGAAAGUAUAGAUUCACAGAGGCAGAAAUGGAGGCACAGAAAGUUUGUUACCCUGAUCACGUAGCUAGAGGUGGAAGAGGAGGGUUUGAACAAAGGUUUCCUGAAUCCAAAUCUUGGCAAUGUUUAACCUAAGGUGUUCUACAUUCUGAGAGCUAGCUGGCAUCAAAGCACGGCAUCUGAAUCAAAGAAAUUUGGAAGAAGAGAACUUUCUCAUCCGAGUGGCUGCCAACACCCCCGCCCCAGCUGAAGUGCUCCCUUGUUCUCGCCUGCUCUGCCCCAGAUUCAUGGGCCACUCUCCGAAUCGUUGGCAAUUUUCUCUGCACUGUCCUGACAACCUCCGGCCAUGAAAAUUAAAAAACUAGUUACCGAAUCUCGCUCCUAACGGCUUUGUCCUUGUCAGCGAUUCGACAGAGAAAUCUGGAAGAGGGAGCCUCCUUACGCCUGCAGUGGGCUGAAAUGCCACCAGAAUGACAAUGGGCUUUGCCGUGGGAGGAGGGGAGAAUGUGCAGUGUGGCAGGAGUGAAUGAAUGAAUGAAAGGGAGAGAGAGAGAAAGAGAGAGAGAGAGAGAGAGAGAGAGACAGUGCGAGUGCACAAACUUUGGGCUUCAAAUUAAAACAUUCCAGUGUCUCAGCAGAGGUCCUGGUGUCUAUACUCCAGGACCUUCUGCCAAAUGCUGAGCAGGGCGCUUUUCCGCAUGCCAUUGCCCUCUGGUCCUCCACCAGGGUACAGAGCUCUGGGCUGGAGAGGGGGGCAGUCAGAAUUUGGUGAGGAAAUGGCUCCAAAGUGGGGAAAGCCCUGGGAGGCCGGCCCACCUAGUCAGCUUGCUAUCUGCCCAAGCUUCCCCCACCACCUCAAGGGUCUCCCCUGAUUUCAGACAUUAGUACUCCACAUACUAUCACCGCCCCCCUCACCACCCUGCUGAAGGAAUUUUAAGAAAUCCUCAAAAACUGGAGGACCCUUAAUUAAGAAAAAACUUUCUAGAAGACCACUGUGAUGGGUGACUCACUGCAACAUGGGCGUCCCUGAGCUGCAGGAGGGUGGGGCUCAGCCUCGUGGCUCUGUGUCCCCAGCCCUUGGCUUUGGGACCCACACAGAUCAAAGGCCUGGCAGGUGCUUGUUGGGUGAAGGAGUAGGAACGGCUUCAUUCAGAGAUUUCUUGUUCCUGCCUCAUCCCCCCGGGGUGUGGACUUGCAGACUGACGUGGGGAUUUGCGGGGAAGCAGGAGAGAGAGGUAUCAAAGCACUGGGUCCUCAGGUCCAGGCCGAGCGAGGUCUGUGACUUCAUAGCCAAGAGACCUUGAACAAGUUGCUUAACAUCCUCAAGCGUGUCUCCUUAUCUCUGACAUGGGAAUCACCAUGGUGACCACGCAGAGGGAGGCUGUGAAUUAAACAAAGGCCCGCAUGUCUGCUUGCUGUAUAGUCAGUGCUCAAUAAGAAGAAAAAGUUAACCAGGCCUAGACC